ACACGACUACAUUAGAUACCCGGGUAGUCCUAGCCGUAAACGAUACUCGCUAGGUGUCGGCCACGGUGCGACCGUUGUCGGUGCCGUAGGGAAGCCGUGAAGCGAGCCACCUGGGAAGUACGGCCGCAAGGCUGAAACUUAAAGGAAUUGGCAGGGGAGCACCACAACGGGUGGAGCUUGCGGUUUAAUUGGAUUCAACGCCGGAAAUCUUACCGGGACCGACAGCAACAUGAAGGCCAGGCUGAAGACUUUGCCGGAUUAGCUG
rnacentral:rRNA from 1 species